AUGGGUGGUACUUGACCAACGGGUGGUACAAUGGAUGGUACUUGACCAACAAUGGGUGGUAUUAGCUGGCUAACAAUGCCUGGUAAUACUUCGUUAAGAAUGGGUGGUAAUAAUCUUCCAACAAUGGGUGGUAAUAGUUGGUUAAGAAGGGAUGGUAAUAGUUGGUUAAGAAGGGGUGCCAAUUGGCCAACACUGGGUGGUACAAUGGGUGGUACUUGUCCAACAAUGGGNNNN
rnacentral:lncRNA from 1 species